CCUAAGGUAGCGAAAUUCCUUGUCGGGUAAGUUCCGACCCGCACGAAAGGCGUAAUGAUUUGAGCACUGUCUCGACAAUGCAUCCGGUGAAAUUGAAAUACCAGUGAAGAUGCUGGUUACCUGCGCCAGGACGGAAAGACCCCAUGGAGCUUUACUCCAGCUUGAUACUGGGAUUCGGUAUUGCAUGUACAGGAUAGGUGGGAGACUAUGAAUUCACAACGCCAGUUGUGGAGGAGUCAUUGUUGGGAUACCACCCUUGCAGUAUUGGAUUUCUAACCAGCCACCGUGAUCCGGUGGUGGGACAAUGUCAGGCGGGGAGUUUGACUGGGGCGGUCGCCUCCGAAAGGGUAUCGGAGGCGCUCAAAGGUCUUCUCAGAAUGGUUGGAAACCAUUCGCAGAGUGCAAAGGCAUAAGAAGGCUUGACUGUGACACCGACGGGUGGAGCAGGUACGAAAGUAGGACUUAGUGAUCCGGUGGUAUAAAGUGGGAUUGCCAUCGCUCAACGGAUAAAAGCUACCCUGGGGAUAACAGGCUUAUCACUCCCAAGAGUUCACAUCGACGGAGUGGUUUGGCACCUCGAUGUCGGCUCAUCGCAUCCUGGGGCUGUAGUAGGUCCCAAGGGUUGGGCUGUUCGCCCAUUAAAGCGGUACGCGAGCUGGGUUCAGAACGUCGUGAGACAGUUCGGUCCCUAUCCGGCGUGGGCGCAGGAUAUUUGAGAGGAGCUGACCUUAGUACGAGAGGACCGGGUUGGACUGACCUCUGGUGUACCGGUUGUUCUACCAAGAGCAUGGCCGGGUAGCCAAGUCGGGAAGGGAUAAACGCUGAAGGCAUCUAAGCGUGAAGCCCCCCUCAAGAUGAGAUAUCCCCCACAUAAGUGGUAAGACCCCUUGAAGACGACGAGGUAGAUAGGUUAGAGGUGGAAGUGCAGUAAUGUAUGGAGCUGACUAAUACUAAUAGGUCGAAGGCUUAUCCAU
rnacentral:rRNA from 1 species